rnacentral:lncRNA from 1 species
GUUUCAUUUUGUAAUACAUAAUGCCAAAUUGCCCUCCAUGAGAACAUAUCAUGACAAAUUUGACUUAAUAGAUAAAUAUAGAGCCUUAAGCCCAAGGAUUGGAGAAUACACGUUAUUCCCAAGAACAUUUACAAGGAAAAUUGAAGAAAAUUGACAUAUAUUUGGCCAUAGACCAAGCCACAAUAUACUUCACAGUACUGGUGUCACACAGAUCGCAUUCUCUGAUCUGCUCAGAUCACAAUGCAAUAAAAUUAAAAACUCAAUAAAAAUACAACUGAAAACAUAAAUAGGUUUGGGAAUUAAGAAACACGUAUCUGAACAAUUCAUGGGUCAAAGACAAUAUUACAGUAUAUUAAGAACCGUGUGAUAAAAAGCAUACUAUAUAUCAUGUGAGACAUAGAACACACAGGAUGAAAAUAAAGCUGUUUUAAUAGGAAAGGCUGGAGGAAGGGAAGGCCUGGGGAAGCCUCUGACAAUAACAGGUAUUAGGGAUAUUAUAGAGGUUAAAUGGACAGGAUUUAGUGAUCGUUUUUGUAAUACUUAGUAAACUCAGGCAGAGCUCGCCCAUCUCAGGUAACUGUGUAGCAUCGUUUAUGAUGGAAGGGACGUGUCAAAAAGACUCAUUGAGAAUACCUCACCCCUCAUUGCUGGAAGAAGCUAGAGUUUUAACCUUAUGCAGAAAUGUAUACAUAAAAAUAAAAAUACAGUCCUGUGGAUUGUACAGCAUUGUGUACCUGAUGCAAACUCCCACCUCAUCUAGCUAAGGAGUGAGCUCCUCUGCUGGUCCAUCCUGGAUUCUUCUUGUUUUUUUGAAGUUCCUCCUCUUGUCCCAAGGGGUUCCUGGUCAACUGAGGUUUCAAUCUGCACGGUCCACCAUCAUGUUUGACAUUACACUCAGGGUCCCUCAGAAUGAAGCAUGCGUGUUCCAGUCCUGGGGCCCCUGAGCUGCCAUCAGAGCUCUCCGUGCUGCCUUCUCUGCUCUGCUGCUCCCUCAACACGCAAGCUGUUUGCAGAAAAGAUCUGCUCUCAUGAGGAGGGUCUUAGAAUGGAGGACAGAUGGUCUCUGUCACAGACAUUGAUGCUCAACCCUGGAUCCUGGAUUCAGAUUGUGAGUCUGCUUUGUGGGGGAAUAAUUAGAAAAGAGAGGAAGAGAAAUUGAAGAGAAGCAAAAGGCAGCAAAGAGAGAGAUUUCUCACUGAAGUGUAGGCUCGGCACCUUACUUCCGUGGUGUUCUUUGCAAAACCCAUAGUCCCAAUUUCCUCAUGAGAAAAACAUCUGACAAACCCAAGGAGAAGAACAGUCUACAGAGUACUUUGACCAGUACUUCUCAAAACUGUCAAGCUCAUGGGAAACAAAGGAAGACCGAGAAACUGUCACAGAUGGGACGAGACUAAAGAGACAGGGCAACUGUGUGCAAUGUAGGAUCCCGGAAGAGAAGAAAGACAUAAGUGGAAAAACUGGUGAGAUCCAAAUAAGGCUGUAAUUUGCUCAAGAGUAAUGUAUAAUGUUAAGUUUUUUCGUUGUGACAAAGGCACCACAGUUAUAUAAGAUGUUAACAUCAGGGGAGACUGGGUGAAGGGCAUAUGAGAAUAUCCGUACUCUCUUGGCAACUCUUCUGUAAAUCUAAAAUUAUUCCAAAAUAAAAAGUUUAUAAAAGAAGGUAGCCCUACGAGA